AAAUUGAAGAGUUUGAUCAUGGCUCAGAUUGAACGCUGGCGGCAGGCCUAACACAUGCAAGUCGAACGGUAACAGGAAACAGCUUGCUGUUUCGCUGACGAGUGGCGGACGGGUGAGUAAUGUCUGGGAAACUGCCUGAUGGAGGGGGAUAACUACUGGAAACGGUAGCUAAUACCGCAUAACGUCGCAAGACCAAAGAGGGGGACCUUCGGGCCUCUUGCCAUCGGAUGUGCCCAGAUGGGAUUAGCUUGUUGGUGGGGUAACGGCUCACCAAGGCGACGAUCCCUAGCUGGUCUGAGAGGAUGACCAGCCACACUGGAACUGAGACACGGUCCAGACUCCUACGGGAGGCAGCAGUGGGGAAUAUUGCACAAUGGGCGCAAGCCUGAUGCAGCCAUGCCGCGUGUAUGAAGAAGGCCUUCGGGUUGUAAAGUACUUUCAGCGGGGAGGAAGGGAGUAAAGUUAAUACCUUUGCUCAUUGACGUUACCCGCAGAAGAAGCACCGGCUAACUCCGUGCCAGCAGCCGCGGUAAUACGGAGGGUGCAAGCGUUAAUCGGAAUUACUGGGCGUAAAGCGCACGCAGGCGGUUUGUUAAGUCAGAUGUGAAAUCCCCGGGCUCAACCUGGGAACUGCAUCUGAUACUGGCAAGCUUGAGUCUCGUAGAGGGGGGUAGAAUUCCAGGUGUAGCGGUGAAAUGCGUAGAGAUCUGGAGGAAUACCGGUGGCGAAGGCGGCCCCCUGGACGAAGACUGACGCUCAGGUGCGAAAGCGUGGGGAGCAAACAGGAUUAGAUACCCUGGUAGUCCACGCCGUAAACGAUGUCGACUUGGAGGUUGUGCCCUUGAGGCGUGGCUUCCGGAGCUAACGCGUUAAGUCGACCGCCUGGGGAGUACGGCCGCAAGGUUAAAACUCAAAUGAAUUGACGGGGGCCCGCACAAGCGGUGGAGCAUGUGGUUUAAUUCGAUGCAACGCGAAGAACCUUACCUGGUCUUGACAUCCACGGAAGUUUUCAGAGAUGAGAAUGUGCCUUCGGGAACCGUGAGACAGGUGCUGCAUGGCUGUCGUCAGCUCGUGUUGUGAAAUGUUGGGUUAAGUCCCGCAACGAGCGCAACCCUUAUCCUUUGUUGCCAGCGGUCCGGCCGGGAACUCAAAGGAGACUGCCAGUGAUAAA
rnacentral:rRNA from 1 species